CUGGCAAGGAGUUUCAUACGCUAAUCGGGAAGGGAAGCACAGCGCACCUUUAAAUUAAUAUGGAUAAUAUUUUUUCUAUUACCCUGAUGAUUAUCACCUAAAUUGGCUUAUAAAAUGUUUAAUGAUUUAUCCUGGCAGUGUUUUAGCACUGGAGAACUUUUUCUACCAGGGCCAAGUGAAGGAUGACCUGGCACCAGAGCAGUUGGUAGCAGAGAACGGUGGGUCACAGUGGAGCUGCUGAUGACACCGAUCCCAGACCUCACCCCAGAGCUUGUGUGCAAGCUGAAGAAUUUGACAGCAGGCCUAGAGCUUUAUCAGAAGGUGGCUCACAGCUGGUGCCUGUUCCUGACCCCGCUGUGUGACGUGUCCCCUCGUGGGACCCCAUCAGCUGCCCAUAACCACAGGUCCAAAGGCAGAUGCCACAUCUUCACACCAAGGGUGUUGUUUUUUCCCCAACAUCUGUUAUUCUCCUUCCCAAGUGCCAGUGUCCUGAGGGGAAACCAAGGGGCUGCACGUGACUGCGCUCACGCACUGGAGGAUGGGGAAGAGCAGAAGGGAAGGAGUCAGCAAAUGGUGCUGGAAGAAGCUGAACCCUCAACCCUUGAAGGUGUGUCUGUGAGCUCCCAGAAACAGCAGCCAGUCCAUGCAAGGAGCCCUCUCCUGCAGGGCCAUGCUGACAAGGGUCACUCCCCAAAGGGGAGGGCUGGUCGCUACAUUU